rnacentral:rRNA from 1 species
AGAGUUUGAUCCUGGCUCAGGAUGAACGCUGGCGGCGUGCUUAACACAUGCAAGUCGAACGGAACUGUUUAGAUGAAGUUUUCGGAUGGAUUUUAAACAGUUUAGUGGCGGACGGGUGAGUAACGCGUGGGUAACCUGCCUCACACUGGGGGAUAACAGUUAGAAAUAGCUGCUAAUACCGCAUAAGCGCACAGUUCCGCAUGGGACAGUGUGAAAAACUCCGGUGGUGUGAGAUGGACCCGCGUCUGAUUAGCCAGUUGGCGGGGUAACGGCCCACCAAAGCGACGAUCAGUAGCCGGCCUGAGAGGGUGAACGGCCACAUUGGGACUGAGACACGGCCCAAACUCCUACGGGAGGCAGCAGUGGGGAAUAUUGCACAAUGGGGGAAACCCUGAUGCAGCGACGCCGCGUGAGUGAAGAAGUAUUUCGGUAUGUAAAGCUCUAUCAGCAGGGAAGAAAGUGACGGUACCUGAAUAAGAAGCCCCGGCUAACUACGUGCCAGCAGCCGCGGUAAUACGUAGGGGGCAAGCGUUAUCCGGAUUUACUGGGUGUAAAGGGAGUGUAGACGGCAAGGCAAGUCUGAAGUGAAAGCCCGGUGCUUAACGCCGGGACUGCUUUGGAAACUGCUUAGCUGGAGUGCCGGAGAGGUAAGCGGAAUUCCUAGUGUAGCGGUGAAAUGCGUAGAUAUUAGGAAGAACACCAGUGGCGAAGGCGGCUUACUGGACGGUAACUGACGUUGAGGCUCGAAAGCGUGGGGAGCAAACAGGAUUAGAUACCCUGGUAGUCCACGCCGUAAACGAUGAU